rnacentral:misc_RNA from 1 species
UUAAGGUUAUAUGUUUUAUAUUUUUUUCACAAGAGGAAAUGCUUUCUUUAUUUAAUUGGAGUUGUUCGUACUAUCAAGACUCUGGCAAAUGUUGGAAAAAUGGAAAACUUCAUUUAUAUCUGCCAGGUUUGAUAUUUGUUGAACCAAAAUCAAACCAAGUUGUUCAUAUACCAUUCAAUACAGUUCUUGGUAUUGAAAAAGGAAAGUCAAGUUAUAUAUAUCCUUGUAUACUGAUUAAAUUUAAGGUGGGUUGCUUAUAUUUCUCUUCCUUUAAUAACAGCAAUAAUGUUUUCAACAUCAUUCAUCAUUUUUGGAAUGGUUUAAGUCUUGAAAAGGAUAAUCCAGAUACACAACAUACCUUACAAAAGCCUGAAAAAGAUUUAGUGCAAAUUGCACUUAACAUACAGUCUACACUUAGCGAUGCUGCUGUGUCUCUCCACAACCAAGGAAAACAGCUUGAUCACACAGUUGAAAGGUUUAAUAAUUUGCACAAUGAUCUAACAGUCUCAAAGAGAAUUCAAAGAGAUCUCGAGUCUUGGUUUGGUGCAUUUAGAUUUAAAGGAACUUUUGUCAAUGAAAAUUUUGUUCCUCUAAGAGAUGAUUAUAUACUAUGUUAUGCUGACAAGCUUGUAUAUGAUAUUCUUGUUGGGAAUGAUGCUGAAGACAGUCAUUUUCCUGGGUGUUUGAUGUUUGUUGACACUUAUCUUAAAGUUACAAAUAAAAAUUCAGAUGUUUUAUUUUCUAGUUCAGUUGAUAGUAUUUCUCAAAUAAAUUUUCAUUCACCUUAUAAUGCAACAUUCAAAAAACAUAUUUUUGGUAAGCCUGAUCAAAAAGUUCAUCUGAUAUCAUCAUCGUUACCAAAAGUUAUAUAUUUGCUCGAAAAAACACAUUCGUAUCAUGGAAAUUAUGAUGACCCUAAACCUACUAAUUCUUUUGGUCCUAAACACGAAGAUGUUGAAGAAUUAUUCUUAAAAUUUGAUAGUUUAAAAAGAGAUAUGGUUGGAUCAGGUAUUUAUCUGUUAAAGUCAUUGAUGGCAAGUGUAAGAUUUGCGCACAAAAUUUAGAGAGCUCUCCGCUUCAUACAGCAUUUAGGUUAAAUGAAAAUGGCAGUUAAUAGUAGAAAUAAUGCAAACAGAAAGAAAAGGUUUAAUGCUCAUCAGUUCAUCGCAAAGGAGAAUACCAUUAAUGUCCGAUUUUAGAUUUACG